UACGUAGGGUGCAAGCGUUGUCCGGAAUUAUUGGGCGUAAAGAGCUCGUAGGCGGUCUGUCGCGUCUGCUGUGAAAACUCGGGGCUUAACCCCGGGCCUGCAGUGGGUACGGGCAGACUAGAGUGCGGUAGGGGAGACUGGAAUUCCUGGUGUAGCGGUGAAAUGCGCAGAUAUCAGGAGGAACACCGGUGGCGAAGGCGGCUCUCUGGACCGUAACUGACGCUGAGGCGCGAAAGCGUGGGGAGCAACAGG
rnacentral:rRNA from 1 species